CUCGCGUGUCGUGUCAGCCGCCGCGGUAAUACAGAGGGUGCGAGCGUUAAUCGGAUUUACUGGGCGUAAAGCGCGCGUAGGUGGUUAAUUAAGUCAAAUUGUGAAAUCCCCGAGCUUAACUUGGGAAUUGCAUUCGAUACUGGUUAGCUAGAGUAUGGGGAGAGGAUGGUAGAAUUCCAGGUGUAGCGGUGAAAUGCGUAGAGAUCUGGAGGAAUACCGAUGGCGAAGGCAGCCAUCUGGCCUAAUACUGACACUGAGGUGCGAAAGCAUGGGGAGCAAACAGGAUUAGAUACCCUGGUAGUCCAUGCCGUAAACGAUGUCUACUAGCCGUUGGGGGAUUUGAUCCUUUAGUGGCGCAGCUAACGCGA
rnacentral:rRNA from 1 species